CAAGAAACGAGGCCGCGUGCGCUCGGCCCGCCCGGCCCGCUCCUUACCUUGCCUACUGCACCGUUUGUUGCUUCCUGGCGGCGGACUUGCCCGCCGCCAGGGACGUUGAUACAAACCCUGUAUAGAAGCAUUGAAGCUCUGAGAAACGCGAAAUCGUA
rnacentral:misc_RNA from 1 species